AGCUCCAAUAGCGUAUAUUUAAGUUGUUGCAGUUAAAAAGCUCGUAGUUGGAUUUCGGAGAGGUACUGCUGGUCUGCCGUUUCGGUAUGCACUGGCAGCGCCUCUCUUGCUGCCGGAAACGGGCUCCUGAGCUUAAUUGCUCGGGACUCGGUGUCGGCGAGGUUACUUUGAGUAAAUUAGAGUGUUCAAAGCAGGCCUACGCUCUGAAUACAUUAGCAUGGAAUAACACGAUAGGACUCUGGCCUAUCUCGUUGGUCUGUGGGACCGGAGUAAUGAUUAAGAGGGACAGUCGGGGGCAUUCGUAUUUCAUUGUCAGAGGUGAAAUUCUUGGAUUUAUGAAAGACGAACUUCUGCGAAAGCAUUUGCCAAGGAUGUUUUCAUUA
rnacentral:rRNA from 1 species